GUUGGGUAGGGGAGCGUUCUGUAAGCCUGUGAAGGUGGCCUGUGAGGGUUGCUGGAGGUAUCAGAAGUGCGAAUGCUGACAUAAGUAACGAUAAAGCGGGUGAAAAGCCCGCUCGCCGGAAGACCAAGGGUUCCUGUCCAACGUUAAUCGGGGCAGGGUGAGUCGACCCCUAAGGCGAGGCCGAAAGGCGUAGUCGAUGGGAAACGGGUUAAUAUUCCCGUACUUGGUGUUACUGCGAAGGGGGGACGGAGAAGGCUAUGUUGGCCGGGCGACGGUUGUCCCGGUUUAAGCGUGUAGGUGUGUGUUCCAGGUAAAUCCGGUUCACUUUAACACUGAGGCGUGAUGACGAGGCACUACGGUGCUGAAGCAACAAAUGCCCUGCUUCCAGGAAAAGCCUCUAAGCAUCAGGUAACAUCAAAUCGUACCCCAAACCGACACAGGUGGUCAGGUAGAGAAUACCAAGGCGCUUGAGAGAACUCGGGUGAAGGAACUAGGCAAAAUGGUGCCGUAACUUCGGGAGAAGGCACGCUGACAUGUAGGUGAAGUGAUUUACUCAUGGAGCUGAAGUCAGUCGAAGAUACCAGCUGGCUGCAACUGUUUAUUAAAAACACAGCACUGUGCAAACACGAAAGUGGACGUAUACGGUGUGACGCCUGCCCGGUGCCGGAAGGUUAAUUGAUGGGGUCAGCGCAAGCGAAGCUCCUGAUCGAAGCCCCGGUAAACGGCGGCCGUAACUAUAACGGUCCUAAGGUAGCGAAAUUCCUUGUCGGGUAAGUUCCGACCUGCACGAAUGGCGUAAUGAUGGCCAGGCUGUCUCCACCCGAGACUCAGUGAAAUUGAACUCGCUGUGAAGAUGCAGUGUACCCGCGGCAAGACGGAAAGACCCCGUGAACCUUUACUAUAGCUUGACACUGAACAUUGAGCCUUGAUGUGUAGGAUAGGUGGGAGGCUUUGAAGUGUGGACGCCAGUCUGCAUGGAGCCGGCCUUGAAAUACCACCCUUUAAUGUUUGAUGUUCUAACGUGGACCCGUAAUCCGGGUUGCGGACAGUGUCUGGUGGGUAGUUUGACUGGGGCGGUCUCCUCCUAAAGAGUAACGGAGGAGCACGAAGGUUGGCUAAUCCUGGUCGGACAUCAGGAGGUUAGUGCAAUGGCAUAAGCCAGCUUGACUGCGAGCGUGACGGCGCGAGCAGGUGCGAAAGCAGGUCAUAGUGAUCCGGUGGUUCUGAAUGGAAGGGCCAUCGCUCAACGGAUAAAAGGUACUCCGGGGAUAACAGGCUGAUACCGCCCAAGAGUUCAUAUCGACGGCGGUGUUUGGCACCUCGAUGUCGGCUCAUCACAUCCUGGGGCUGAAGUAGGUCCCAAGGGUAUGGCUGUUCGCCAUUUAAAGUGGUACGCGAGCUGGGUUUAGAACGUCGUGAGACAGUUCGGUCCCUAUCUGCCGUGGGCGCUGGAGAACUGAGGGGGGCUGCUCCUAGUACGAGAGGACCGGAGUGGACGCAUCACUGGUGUUCGGGUUGUCAUGCCAAUGGCACUGCCCGGUAGCUAAAUGCGGAAGAGAUAAGUGCUGAAAGCAUCUAAGCACGAAACUUGCCCCGAGAUGAGUUCUCCCUGAGACUUAAAGUCUCCUGAAGGAACGUUGAAGACGACGACGUUGAUAGGCCGGGUGUGUAAGCGCAGCGAUGCGUUGAGCUAACCGGUACUAAUGAACCGUGAGGCUUAACCUU
rnacentral:rRNA from 1 species